rnacentral:rRNA from 1 species
UACAGAGGUCCCAAGCGUUGUUCGGAUUCACUGGGCGUAAAGGGUGCGUAGGUGGUCGGGUAAGUCUGAUGUGAAAUCUCUGAGCUCAGCUCAGAAAUGGCAUUGGAUACUAUUCGGCUCGAGGGUUGGAGGGGGGACUGGAAUUCUCGGUGUAGCAGUGAAAUGCGUAGAUAUCGGGAGGAAUACCUAUGGCGAAGGCAGGUUACUGGGCCAUUACUGACGCUGAGCUGCGAAAGCUAGGGGAGCAAACAGG